rnacentral:tRNA from 1 species
GGUGCUGUAGUCGAGUUGGUUAAGACGCCUGCUUAUUAUCUUAGAUUUUAUCGCAGGAGAUCUUGGGUUCGAGCCCCAACGGUACCACCA